UUCAUGUCAAUAUAUCUUACGACUCCAUAGCUCUAUCAACCUCCAGGACAAGUUUCUGUUGUUCUCUCGAUCUCCAUCCAUCAAACUUGGUUGAACCUACCACGCUGCCCAAUCGAGCAACGGCUGUCACGAGCAGCGCAUCCUCCUCCACAUCUUCUCUGUAUCAGGUCUCUAUUAGCGUCGUUCUCAGUUUUUGAGGCCGUCGCUGCAGGAUAGCGCAACCACUUAUUCUUUCUUUUCUCUCUUGCAGAUUCAUGUUUCUUAUUUCUCUUGCAGAUCCAAGUUCCCCUCCUCCGCUUAUUCCUUCUUUUCUAUCUUGCAGAUUCAUGUUUCUUAUCUCUAUUGCAGAUCUAAGUUCGCCUCCUUCUCCCCUUACAGGUGCCACCGCUUCCUAUAUUCUCCAACUUUUCUCGCAGAGAAUCAGAUGGCAAUCUGUGCAAGCAUAUGUCGCUGCUGCUAGCACGAGUUGAGUGUAAUUUUCUUGGGAUGAAUUAGACAAUGCCAAGCACAUCUGGCUUCCAGAGACGAGGAAUAUUUAGUCAGCGACUAAUCAUGGUAGUCAUGCCCUCUAGGUGGAAAUAAUAGAAACAACAAUAGUCGACUCAGGUGGUAUCAAGCUUGAUCAUGAAAUCUUUGAAAGUAUAAACACCAUUCUUGCAUGUGUGUGAACUUACACGCAAACUCACCCAAGGUGCCAGGUUGCUUUGUAUGUGUUGACUUCUACCCAGCUGCUGAGAUGAACUUCGAUCCAAGACGUUUCAACUUUUUAUAAAGAUGGUUCAAAUAUAUUUUCCCAAAAAGGUCGUCUACCAUCUUCUGCUAUGCAUGCAUUAGUAGUCGUCGUAAUUUAGUUCACCAACUUACAGGAUUUGUGAAGCAUUCUAACUAAUUCACGAGUGCUCAGCCAUGCUCUGUUUCAAUUUUCAAAUCAAAAGUGUGUUAAAUUUCCAUUCCAAUUAAGAGAUAUUUGCAUGGAUAUGCAUAACCAAUUGGUAUAUGUAUGACAAGAGAAAAACAAAUCAUAUUGUUUGAUUCAUAUAGCUGAAUUGCUUUGGAGGGAAGUAUUCUGGUGACUCUGUAAUCUGCCUGUGAACAUGUUGUUUAGUUAUGGAUAUUUACUCAGAUGCGGUAGUACCCUAGCUAGGAGAUAAAAAAGGGAAGAGAUCAGGGCAUAUGCUGCAUUCUUUGAUGGAUUUGACAUUAAGUUGGGCCUAUAAAGAUGAAGUAAUCAUUGAACUAUCACACAUGUUGCAAGGUGCUAUAUUAUCCCAUGGAGUCAGGUACGCAAGCUAUAGGCAGAGGACAUAGACUCAUAAUGAAAUAAUCUUUGUGAUAACAUUAUUUGAGAGAGAGAACAAAGUUUAGUGAACAAUAACAGGGUGCAAUCAUCAAGUGUGCUUAUGCACCGCUCUGCAUGCAGCAAUAAAAUGUAUUGAUUAUUCAGCUCAAUCGAUUCUUGUUUUGUUACGGAACAAUAACAAUAGCUGCGAAGGAUCAUAAUUUGUAUGUACCUCUGGAUUUCAUAUACUGUUGUUGACAUUGACACUGAACUAUGU